AAAAAAUUAGUUUAAAUAAAACAUUAACUUGUCAAGUUAAAGAUAUUAAAAUUAAUAUUUUUUA
rnacentral:tRNA from 1 species